GCUGGGUGCCGCGGGAGGAGACGCUUCCGGGCGGCCGAAGGGAAAUACGGCGCUAGUCCAGCCUUGUUCCUGUGUGUAUUCCAACAGGAGCGCCACGGUAUCUCCACUGAAGUUAUUCAGAGGAUUAAAUUUUGCUUCGUACACACAACAGUGUCUGGGCUUUAGCUUUUUUUUUUCUUUUCCCGGACCAAAAUCCUGUUCCAGAGUCCCCCUGAGGCUCCCUCAGAGAAAUCAUCAUAAUUCUUACCGAGCACAUGAAAACUUCCAGGAGUGCUUUUAAUUACCUUUUCUAAAGAGACCUGAUAAUGGUUUCGUUAACACUGGCUAAUGACAUCAGAAAAAGAUGUUAGAUGGGUGCAGCAGCAGAUGUUAAAAAUAGCGAGGCCACAUCCUGCACCUCGGCCGGUCAGAGAAAUCAUGACAAGCUGUCAUUUCUGCUCCAAAAAUCCACAAAGUGCCCUCAGCGUCACUGCCUGAGUGCCACCAGGAUGAACACUCACACAAGAUUUCCUGGAAAAGUAUCAAAGCUGUCUCAGCUCUGACACAUUUGUUUGGCAGCGCUCCGUGCCACUCACUCGGUGAGAUUUCAGUCACUCAGCACGCACAGUGUCACCGCUCCUCCAGCUCUCGAACUGGAAGCCUGACAAUAAAGCUCUUUGAAAAAGUUGAGACGUCACCAUGCUCUGAACAAACAAGAUGAGAGCAAGAAAAUAAGUAAAUUAAAUAAGAAAAAAAAAAAAGUAA